rnacentral:rRNA from 1 species
AUUGAACGCUGGCGGCAGGCCUAACACAUGCAAGUCGAACGAGUGGCGGACGGGUGAGUAAUGUCUGGGAAACUGCCCGAUGGAGGGGGAUAACUACUGGAAACGGUAGCUAAUACCGCAUACCCUCGGAUGUGCCCAGAUGUGAUUAGCUUGUAGGUGAGGUAACGGCUCACCUAGGCGACGAUCCCUAGCUGGUCUGAGAGGAUGACCAGACACACUGGAACUGAGCCACGGUCGAGACUCCUACGGGAGGAAGCAGGGGGGAAUAUGGCACAAUGGGCGCAAGCAGGAUGCAGCAAGGCCGCGGGUAGGAAGAAGGCCUUCGGGUUGGAAAGUACGUUAAGCGGGGAGGCGUUACCCGCAGAAGAAGCACCGGCUAACUCCGUGCCAGCAGCCGCGGUAAUAC